rnacentral:siRNA from 1 species
UAAAUAAAUAUGGUGCACUCCUAU